rnacentral:rRNA from 1 species
UACAGAGGGGGCAAGCGUUGUUCGGAAUUACUGGGCGUAAAGGGCGCGUAGCGGCCUUCUAAGUCGAACGUGAAAUCCCCGGGCUCAACCUGGGAAUGGCGAUGAAGACUGCAAGGCUAGAAUCUGGCAGAGGGGGGUAGAAUUCCACGUGUAGCAGUGAAAUGCGUAGAGAUGUGGAGGAACACCGAUGGCGAAGGCAGCCCCCUGGGUCAAGAUUGACGCUCAUGCACGAAAGGCGUGGGGAGCAAACAGGAUUAACGAA